ensembl:lncRNA
GCGUGUGCGCGUGUGCAUGCGUGUGCGUGUGUGUGCGUGUGUGAUAAAUAAUGGUUGCAUCGAAUUCCUGGGCCGCUUGCUUUCUUCAGGUCUUAAUGCAAAACAAAACAUUCACCUCUGACAAUCCUGAUGCCGGUGAAGUCCUCAAUGAAUGGUAACUGCUGCUUUUAUGUUAAAACACGGCUGCGAAGUAUGUCACAUGUCGUGAGACGGUAAGACCGGGGGUGCUUGCGCAGAAACACCGACGAGGAGACGCGCUUCUCAGACAGUGCAUUUGGGAUGGGUUCCUCAACCCGGGCAGGUGGAGAUCCGCAGAGCCUGGGAGGGGACUGUCUCGUGACAGGGGAUGGAGAAGGGGCAAAGGACAACAAAGGGAGUGGAGAAAGUUUUCGGGAGUGAGCAGAAUGGAGAAGCGAAGAAGAGGGUUUCAUACCCACAUUGCCCAGGUGAGACGCAAAGGAUCAGCCGAGCCAAGUCAUGUAACGGAAAAAUAAACACACAAAGAAAUACGCCUCGGGGCCGGGAGGACAUGUUAGGGCCCCUUCCCGAGGCUUCUGUCCUCGCCUCUCUUCUCUUCUCUGGGAGGAAGUGCUAAGAAAGAAGGAAAAAACUGCAAGAUCCUUUCGGUCUCGCUCGGCAUUUGUCGGGUCUUUUUCUGACUCCCCCGUCCUGCGUACAAGAGCAAGAGCAAGGGUUGCACGCUUUGUCAGAGAGAGGGAGAAGCUGCACACGUUCCGGGUGUCUGCCGAGACCUGGGAUCCCAGCACACGUGGGACUGUCACGGCGGACACGUUCUCGGCACAUUCCCAGCUCCGACUCGGCGCCUCCUCUGAGUUCAGGCACUGGGACCCUAACUCCAGGAUCUCAGGAUGCGGCAGGUUUUGAAAAUGGCGUCUUCAUAGACAUGAUGGAAUGAGGUCCCCAGGGUGGCCCCGAGCCCAGGGCUGGGUCCUCCUGAAAAGAGGGCGGGAGGACGCGGACACACACAGGGACGCGCUUGUGAGGACACAGGAAGCCUGGGGGGAGCCAGCGUUGCCCACGCUGGGCCUGGGGCCUGCAGCUCCGGGAUGUCCGAAGUUGAAGGGACCAGGCGAGGGGACUUUAAUUUGCAGAGGGAGGGCACAAUUCUGCUCCUAACAGGAAUUAGGCAUGUGGCAAAAUGCGCCUUCUACAACAGUGCUGCGUACACUGGAAAGCAAUGCAUUCUCUCCCUGGUGCAAACUAGAGUGAGACUCCUCGCCCACCGUCCUGUCCCGUUUCUGGGAACCACACACUGCAGCGCAGUUGUUUGUUGAGUGCUUGUGAGGCGAGACCACCCCCCGGCAGCUGGACAGGUCCUCACAGGGAAAGAUGAGCAGCAUCCCGUCACACGUCUCGAUGCCCGGCUCGAAUUUCGUUCCUUCUCUGUUGGAAGGUGCAGCUUAUCUGACCGGAAGCCUCUUCGGGUCUCACUAUGGUGCUGAAUUGCCAACCUGGACUCACACUUGUGAUCCCCCUGCCUCACCCUCCCUGGAGUGCUGGGAUGACAGGUGUGCACCAUCACACCCCGCUCACAAUUGACUUUUUAAAGUGCUGCUCAUUUUGCCCCAGCUUGAAAAACAGAGACUGAUGAAAUUGUUGCAAGACUGUAGAAGGUUUUUAAUGCUUUGUUGCUGUUGUUAAUCCACCAAGGCAGUAUGCAUUUUCCCGCUGGAGAAAUACCUUCUAAACUGGAUCCAACAUUCUGAGCCCAUUUCUGCCUUGGGACCUACAUCACUGUAGGACUGGAGGAGGGGAGGAAUCUUACCGGAUCCUUUUCGUGUUUAUAUUUACAAUAGAACAAAGGCUGGGGCAGGCAUUCUGCAAUUUCUGCUUUUUCUUUUGAUGCAUGAAACAGUAACCUUCCACUGUGUUGUUUACGUGUGGAACUGAGCAUGUUUUGUAAGUGCUGUGCUAGAGAUCGUGAGGCUGAGGGGUGCACAGGGCUAGAUGGAGCCCCAGACUGGCUUCGGGGACAUUUUGCAGCCUCGAUCCCACUGCCCUAAGCUGUCCAUGGCUCUGAAGUUCAUUCCCCUCCUCAGACCCUAUUCUCAGGACAGAAGCUGGUAACAGACAGGUGCAGAGGUUCAUUUUUACCAAUGUUUUAAAAUCUUUUGUCAGUGUGUGUUACUUGCACCCAUUCACGAAUUCCGGUGUGAUAUCUCCAUACAUCCACGCAGCACGUACAAAUCCAAUGGAAAGUCCAACUUCUCCCAUCCCAUCUCCUUCCCAGUCUCUAAGGAUUGCUAUUCUCCUUUUAGCUUUGCCAUGUGACAGAGGACACACGACAUUUGUCUUUGUGAGUCUGGCUUAGUUCAUUGAACACAGUGGUCUCCAGCCCCAUCCGCUUUUGUGUGUAUGAUAUGUCAUCCUCCUCCGUUGGCUUCUUUGUGAUUCUUUAGGACCAGAGAGUGCCAACACCAUGUGUAUGGACCCCACCGUGUCUUUAUCCAUCCAUAUAUGGAUAAGGCUGGUUCCUCAGGCUGGUUCCUUAUCUUGGCUCCUGGGAGUUGUGCCAUGAUAAACAUGGGCAUGGAGGGCCAAGGAUUUAGCUCAGUGGUUUCACCACCUGCUGCGCAAGCGCAAGGACCCGAGUUCAAUCCCUGGUACCAAAAAAAAAAAAACCCCAAAAACAUGGGUAUGGAAGUCUCAUUACUGUUCUAACCACAUUUCCUGUGGGUAUGUGAUGUCUGAGUUACUUUCCAUCACAGUGACAAAAUAACAGACAUACACAACUUAAGGAAGGAGAGGUUUAAGUUGGCUGUUGGUCUCAGAGGGUUCAGUCCAUGGUCUGCUGCUCCAAGGCAGGAACAUCAUAGUGGAUGGCAUGGAGGAGGAAAGAUGCUCACAUCAUGGUGGCCAGGAAGGAGGGGCAGGGGGACUCACGGUUCUCAUGGUCUCAGAGGGUUCAGUCCGUGGUCAGCUACUCCAAUGAUCUCAGAGAGUUCAGUCCAUGGUCAGCUGCUCAAAUGGUCUCAGAGGGUUCAGUCCAUGGUUGACUACUCCAAUGGUCUCAGAGAGUUCAGUCCAUGGUCAGCUGCUCCAAUGGUCUCAGAGGGUUCAAUCCAUGGUCGGCUGCUCCAAUGGUCUCAGAGGGUUCAGUCCAUGGUCAGCUGCUCCAACGGAUUCCGAGGGUUCAGUCCAUGGUCGGCUGCUCCAAUGGUCUCAGAGGGUUCAGUCUAUGGUCGGCUACUCCAAUGAUCUCAGAGAGUUCAGUCCAUGGUCGGCUGCUCAAAUGGUCUCAGAGGGUUCAGUCCAUGGUCGGCUGCUCCAAGGCAGAAACAUCAUGGUGGACGGGCAUGGAGGAGGAAAGAUGCUCACACCAUGAUGUCCAGGAAGCAGAGAGAGAAGGGAGGAGCUGGGACAAGAACUCACCCUUCCAGGUCAUACCCCAGUGACCUCCUCCAGCCAGGCCCCACCUCCUGCAGCUCAUUCACCAGGAGCUCAUCCGUGAUGCAUCCACUGAUGAGCACAGUGCCCCAUGACCCAGUCACCUUCCAAAGCCACUCCUGUGAAUACAGGAGAUUUGGGGAGACAUUUUUGAUCCAUUGACCAAUAUCCUGGGUAAUCAAGUUCCAGUGCAGGUAUUUGAAGUUCACUCAAUUAAAACUGGCUGAAGAAAAGCCAACUGACUCUCUAGAAAAGAAUGAACUGAGUGUAUUUCAUAACUCAUGAGUUGCAAACUGAGCAACAUACAAAGAAUCUGAAGCCUCACGUUAUGAAGUCAAAGGGAAACAAAGGAAACAAAGAAAAAUAUGGGCUCAAGGAGCUCGUGCAAGUCUGAGUGCAUUCUUCACUCACAAGGUGAGGUAACAAAUGAAGCACAGAAGGCCUCGUAUGUUCCUCUGACUUUCCACCACAUCUCCUGUAGGGUUCGACCCUCGUGUUCUGAGUGCUCGAGCACUCCUCCCAAAGCGUAUCAUAACAGAGAUAAGAUGCGCCAUUCCCAGUGCAGGUUUUUAAGCUAUAAAGUUGUCCCCACGAGCUUCACAUUUGCUUUUACCUGAUGCAACUUCAGCUCAUAGGUAGCUGUCUUGGUUACUUUUCUCUCAUUGCUGAGACAAAAUACCCAACACCCAAAGGUAAAGGAGGAAAGGUUUAUUUAGCUCACUGUUUGUGGAGGUUUCAGUCUGUAAUCAGCUGGCUCCAGUGCAGGGUAGAUGCAGAGGGGCGUCGCAGAGGAGAAACAAUCCACGGCAUGACAGGCAGAAGGCAGCAAAAGCAGCAAGGGACCUUAGCAGUUUCUUUCUGCGCCUUUUAUGCUCUCUCUGGGCUCCUGGGUUUAGGGCAGUGCCAAACCAAUCAGUGGACUGAUUUAGUAAUCAACCACCCUGCAUCCCAGCAUUGCAUCCUGCAUCAGUCACACACUGGAUCCAGCCACCUCUGAAAAAGUCUGCAUGAGGCUUUGGGCGGACAGCUAGACACAACGCAGAGCAGAAGCAAACCCAGGAGUUGGGCUCUCUGGAACACUCUGUUAAAAGGGGAAUAGAUUCUCACUUUCUCUGAAUUCUGGGCCUUUUAUUGUGGGUAUUUACAGCAAGGAUAGUGGUUCCUUUUUUCCCACAACAUCUCUGGAGUUGGUGGUGGAACCAUAUGGCUGCCCAGUGUCUACAACCUGCCUUUGAAUCCUACCUUGGGAUCCUCAUCGAGUUCCAGUUAUGGUUGAUAUGUUGACCACCAUGGGAAGGGAAAUGGUAUCAAAGAGAAAUUUCUUUCUCCUUCCUUCCUUCCUUUUUUAAAAAAUGCUAUUGAUUAAACCCAGCACCUUGCACAUGCUACCAAUGUGCUCUACCACUGAGCUACACCUCUACUCCUUUAAUUUAUUUUGAGACAGAGUCUCACCCACUUGCCCAGGCUGGCCUGAAACUUGCAACCCUCCUGCCUCAGAUUCCUUCGUAGCUGGGAUUACAGGCCCUCACCCAUCGCAGGCUCAAAGAGCAAUUUCUAGAUGCCAAGCACAGCCUGGCUAAAUGACCUUGGUACCAUAUAGCACUGAGAACAAAGUACUGAGGUGUGUUCUGACCCCCUCGGCAGCACGACCUGAAAAGUUAAGCAUGGCUGUAACUUCAUAACGAAAGUGUGCAGCUAACAGUAAUAACCUGUAGAUCGAACUAAUAUCCACAUUCCCAGAAUAGGAAUAGAGGGAAAUAAUGGGUCAAAAUUUGAAAGUACAGUGAAAACACAAAAAGAAAGAAGCAAGCCACCUUAUUUGCCAGUUUAAAAAGUUCCUUGAAGGUGGGCCUGGAGGCUCACACCUGUAAUCCCAGCUCUUGAGAGGCUGAGGCAGGAGGAUUGCUGCGAGUUCGAGGUCAGCCUGGGAUACAGAGUGCGUUCAAGGCCAGCCUGGGAUAUACAAGCAAGGCCCUCCCUGUUCAAAAAUCCAUUCAAAAGUCUUGCAAAACACUGAAUUCUGUAAUUUCAUAAAAGCCAAUUUCUUGCAAAACAAUUCUACCGCCCCAAAACAGAAAGUAAUGGAAUCCAUUCAUUUUACAAUCAGCAAUGGCAUCUGUCUAAUAGAGGAUUAUGUUUUUUAAAUUGAUGGCACCUUGCAGAAUUCAGUUUGUUUUUUGUGAACGCAGCAGGCUUUCAUCCGAGUUUAUGAACAGAACUAGCCAGUGGGCAGUGUUGGAGACGCAAUUAAACACCGCCAGAAGACCCGAAACGGGAAGACCUUGUCUAAUCCCUUUCUGCACCGGGCCGGGGAAAUCUCUUCUGGCAAAGUCUGGUCCCGCUGCAGAGGGUUAAGUGUUGGCUGUAAAUUUCCUGAGUCUGUACUUCAUCAUUAUUUUCUUUCAACGGGAGCUUUUAUGCUCUUCACAAAUUGAAGAACCGCUCUGGAGUUCACACGCGGCCGGGACACAUGGUGGUCCUAAUUUUCCAGGGUCACCAACCCAGAAAUGUUCAUUAUUUACAUGGCUCCUUGCUAAACUGGAUUCCUCUCUUAAGAAAAGUGGUCAUGAAUGGAGGUCAAGCUUGGACCGUGGACAUUUACUGGAAAAUGAAACAAAAAUAAAAGAAAUAAGUUCUGAUUCUCUUUAGAAUAAGUCUUACAGGUAAGUUUGGUUUCUCGGUCGGAUGCCUUCUUAGUCAAGCAAAGCGAAACGCUAGUAGCUGUGUGUGUCCACCCUGCAUUUCACCGUGGCUUUGUUUCUAAAAGAAAAUUUCUAAGUCAAGUGCUAAUUUGUUUUUGCCCUUAGAAAAAUUGAGAGUAGUGGUAAAUGCAAAGGUGGGGACAAUUGAGGACCAGGACAUCUCAGAUCCUCUUGGAAAUAAGUAAGAAAACACUCGCACCUCUUCAAGGCAAAGCUAGGUGUUUUGUCCCUUACACGUUUCCCAUCUGAUCUUCAUGGCAAUCACAAUAUUGUCACUUUUCCUCUUGCUUUUACAG